rnacentral:lncRNA from 1 species
CCAAAAUUAAACUUUGUUUGAUUUCAUCAAAAAUUGAAUAAAUGGGGUUCUUUGAUAUACCAAAUCUAACUGUGUAUGUAGAUUCUUCAUUUUUGGUCCUGUUUUCAAAUUGGUCUACACUAAAGUCCAAAGGGUCCAAAAUUAAACUUAGUCUGAUUUCAACAAAAAUUGAAAUCUUGGGGUUCUUUGAUAUGCUGAAUCCAAAAAUGUACUUAGAUUUUUUAUUAUGGGCCCAAUUUUCAAGUUGGUCCAAAUCAGGAUCUAAAAUUAUUAUAUUAAGUAUUGUGCAAUAGCAAGUCUUUUCAAUUGCACAGUAUUGCGCAAUGGCAAGAAAUAUCUAAUUGCACAAUAUUGUGAAAUAGCAAAUUUUUUUUUAAUUUAG